GGAUCUGUUCCCAGGAAAGGAUAUCUCAGCAACUUCAAUGUCAGUGACGGUGGGGUUGAUGAACCUGGUUGGUAGUUGGUUUGGUGCCAUGCCAUGUUGCCAUGGGGCUGGUGGACUUGCAGGACAGUAUAAAUUUGGUGGAAGAAGUGGUGCUUGUGUGGCACUUCUUGGUGUUGCCAAAUUGGUAUUGGGAACUUCUUUGGCACACAUUUUAAUGCAGUUUCUUGUGGGGAUCUUAGGUUGAUGGAGAUGGAAAAUUUGAGAGAGCUAGUGGGACAAAUGUUGGCGGUGGUACUUAUUGGGGCUUAGGAAGGCUGUUAACAAAGUGCUAGAGCUUCGAUGAGUUACUUGAACUGAGUCAGAAAGGAGAUAAUAGAAACAUGACAUGCUUGUUGGGGACAUUUAUGGUGGUAUGGACUAUUCUAAGGAUUCACUGGCAUUACAUAACCCUAGAUUGGCUUAUCGGCUUCUACCAUUUCUUAAAGUUUGGCAAGGCUACAUCAGAAGAAAUGGAGCUUGAAGAUUAUAGACCUGAAGAUAUAUCACUCUCUUGUACGAAUGAUUUGAUACAAUAUUGCCCAGGAACAGGCACUUGUAGAAUAACUUAGGAAGUCCAGGUUACAGGUGUGAUAUGGUAGAUGGAAUUUCAAAGGACUAGGAUAGCAUACAAAAACAAAUCCUAAAUGAAUGAUAUGGAAAAUUUGUACCACCAUAUUUUUUUAUAGAAUUGAGAAGAUACUUUUUUUGUAUAGAUGUCCCAUAAGUAAAUUUUUUAUUAGUUUUAUUUGGCCAUUUUUUACCUAUAUGACAUUGGUAGAAAGCUUGAAAGCUUGAUUAGCUUAUAUAAAUUGAAAACAUGAUGGCUUGUACAA